AUGUUUGUUUACAACUUCGAUCACUGUUCUUCUUUCAUCUUGCACAUCAGCAACAUCAACACCCAUUACAAUUGGUAAUGGCCGAUACCAACACACAUCCUAAUACUAUACCAUUGCAACCGGUGACCACUAACUACACUUAAUUAACCAUUACAGUCAUGCUAAGGGCAUAGCUACCUCUCUAGUGCUGGUGUCACAAAAAACACAACGAGCUCUUUAAUUUUUUUCUAGGACAGGACAUCUCUACAACGCUGGUGUCGAAAAAAAAAAAAAAAAAAAAAGAAUCGCAGUACAUUUUGAAAAGUAGUUAGUGACAGGUAGGGUUUUCAGCCAGAAAAACCAAGGUAAAAAUGAAAUGUGGACAAGAGGAGCCUACUCCCAGUAGGCUAAGAGGAGGAAAUUUUCACAAGCAGUAGAUGCACAGGAUCACUUCACACAAUCAUCAGACGAGGAAGUAAGAUUAAAGGAAGUAAACUUAUACUCGCGAGAAUAUUUAAAUGAGAACUGGUCAAAACGAAAUAUUUAGGAUUAAAAAAAAAAAAGGAAAUAGAAAUAGUUUGAAUCGUAAACCGAACUUGAAUGAUGAAAUCUGCUUGCUCUGUAAUCUUUCUGGAAAACUUAAAUACGUUUUUUCUGAUGAAUAUGAUUUUGCUCUGCACGGAUUUAGACGAAACCAAAUGUAUACUGCUUAUAUAUUUAGGGUAAGGAAAUGGAAAGUUUCAAACCAAACCUGAAUCGAAAAAUCUGCCUGCUCUUUGCAGGUCCAUGUGUUUUGAGAAGAAAAAUAACUAGAGGUUGUUUUGUUUACAUCUUUUCUAUGGUUAUUAGCGUUGUAAGCUCAAAAAGUAUACUUUGUUAAUAAUAAACUUACCACUUCAAUA
rnacentral:lncRNA from 1 species